rnacentral:misc_RNA from 1 species
UCUGCAAACUUAAGCGCGGCUUGUUUGUUGAGCAAUUGUUCCGUUAAGGAACAGACUUGAAAUGCAGUGGCGAAUGAUACUGACUUUGGUGCCUGAGUAUCCUGGGGCUCUGUCAUACACUCUUAUAGCCCAGUCAAUGUUCUUACCGACAUUUUUUCUAUUUUAUCGUUAGUUA